rnacentral:tRNA from 1 species
GGGUGCGUAGCUCAGUUGGUUAGAGUACUUGCUCGACACGCAAGGGGUCACAGGUUCGAAUCCUGUCGCACCCA